CCUACGGGAGGCAGCAGUAGGGAAUCUUCCGCAAUGGACGAAAGUCUGACGGAGCAACGCCGCGUGAACGAUGAAGGCCUUCGGGUCGUAAAGUUCUGUUGUUAGGGAAGAACAAGUGUUAGUUGAAUAAGCUGGCACCUUGACGGUACCUAACCAGAAAGCCACGGCUAACUACGUGCCAGCAGCCGCGGUAAUACGUAGGUGGCAAGCGUUGUCCGGAAUUAUUGGGCGUAAAGCGCGCGCAGGCGGUUUCUUAAGUCUGAUGUGAAAGCCCCCGGCUCAACCGGGGAGGGUCAUUGGAAACUGGGAAACUUGAGUGCAGAAGAGGAAAGUGGAAUUCCAAGUGUAGCGGUGAAAUGCGUAGAGAUUUGGAGGAACACCAGUGGCGAAGGCGACUUUCUGGUCUGUAACUGACGCUGAGGCGCGAAAGCGUGGGGAGCAAACAGGAUUAGAUACCCUGGUAGUCCACGCUGUAAACGAUGAGUGCUAAGUGUUAGAGGGUUUCCGCCCUUUAGUGCUGAAGUUAACGCAUUAAGCACUCCGCCUGGGGANCGGUCGCAAGCUGAACUUAANGAAUUGNGNGNGNGAGNGCGAGNGCAGAGGAGAG
rnacentral:rRNA from 1 species